rnacentral:rRNA from 1 species
GACGUAGGGCGCGAGCGUUGUCCGGAUUUAUUGGGCGUAAAGAGCUCGUAGGCGGUCUGUUGCGUCCGCUGUGAAAACUCGGGGCUUAACCCCGAGCCUGCAGUGGAUACGGGCAGACUAGAGGUAGGUAGGGGAGAAUGGAAUUCCCGGUGUAGCGGUGAGAUGCGCAGAUAUCGGGAGGAACACCGGUGGCGAAGGCGGUUCUCUGGGCCUUACCUGACGCUGAGGAGCGAAAGCGUGGGGAGCGAACAGG